rnacentral:rRNA from 1 species
GAUGAACGCUGGCGGCGGGCCUAAUACAUGCAAGUCGAGCGAACAGACGAGGAGCUUGCUCCUCUGACGUUAUCGGCGGACGGGUGAGUAACACUUGGAUAACCUACCUAUAAGACUGGGAUAACUUCGGGAAACCGGAGCUAAUACCGGAUAAUAUAUUGAACCGCAUGGUUCAAUAGUGAAAGACGGUUUUGCUGUCACUUAUAGAUGGAUCCGCGCCGCAUUAGCUAGUUGGUAAGGUAACGGCUUACCAAGGCGACGAUGCGUAGCCGACCUGAGAGGGUCAUCGGCCACAUUGGAACUGAGAAACGGCCCAGACUCCUACGGGAGGCAGCAGUAGGGAAUCUUCCGCAAUGGGCGAAAGCCUGACGGAGCAAAGCCGCGUGAGUGAUGAAGGUCUUCGGAUCGUAAAACUCUGUAAUUAGGGAAGAACAAAUGUGUAAGUAACUAUGCACGUCUUGACGGUACCUAAACAGAAAGCCACGGCUAACUACGUG